rnacentral:rRNA from 1 species
UGGGAGGUAAAUUUCUCCUAAGGCUAAAUAACGGCGAGAGACCGAUAGCGAACAAGUACCGUGAGGGAAAGAUGAAAAGAACUUUGAAAAGAGAGUUAAACAGUACGUGAAAUUGUUGAAAGGGAAACGAUUGAAGCCAGUCGUACCUUCGGGCAAUCAGCCUUUCGGGUGUGAUUCUGUGGAGUUUGAGGAGCUUAACACCUUCAUGCUUUGCAUAUUCGUGCUCUUGGGUGUACUUGCCCGUGUGGUUGGUUAACAUCAAUUUCGGGCACCAUAAAAUGGCUGGAGGAAUGUAGCUUCGAUCUUGUAUUGAAGUGUUAUAGCCUUCGGUAGAUGUGGUGAUCGAGAUUGAGGAUUGCAACGGAUACCUUUCGGGGCUACCUGUCUGAUCUCUGAUCGUUGUUUUGGUGCUGAAAGCGUGCUUAUAGUUAUCAAAGUCGAUGGUCAAUAGGUUAGAAUGGGUUAAACUCGUUAAGGAUGUUGACGUAAUGGCUUUAAACGACCCGUCUUGAAACACGGACCAAGGAGUCUAACAUAUAUGCGAGUGUUAGGGUAAUUAAACCCUUACGCGUAAUGAAAGUAAUUUUGGUGGGAACAUUUUUGUGCACCAUCGACC